CCGUCGAUAGCUCAGUUGGUAGAGCUGAUGAUUGUAGAGUUGCAGCAAUCCUUAGGCCGCUGGUUCGAAUCCGGCUCGACAGA
rnacentral:tRNA from 1 species